rnacentral:lncRNA from 1 species
CUAGGGUCUCUUCUCUAAGUACCAACCACCUCAUCCCCCACGAUCACCAACCUAGCCGCCGUGAGUGACAGCCACGAGCCACCCUUGCUCCGUCCAAGGCGUCGCCGGCGACUAUCGCCGGCCACAAGCUACCCAUUCUCUCGCACUAGCCUAGGUUAACGCCACCGCCUCUGCAAGUCUCGACCUCGCCGGCGACAACAAGUGUCACCGGNGCCAUGGCCGGCCACGGCGUCAAUCCCCUUCUCUCCUCUCGCUUCAAAGAGAUAACGAACCUGCCCCUCCGCAGUGCGUCUUAAUCGUUGCCGGUGGAGGUACCUGCUGCUGCCGUCACGAGCUCGCCACAGGAACCUCUAAUCGGACCACUGUUGUGCGCAAUCGCCGCGCCUCCAAUAACCACUCUGAACCCUAGUCGCACAGCCAGGGCUGUCGCGUCGACCCCUCAUCUCCUUCAUCAUCGCGCUUGCCGCCUAACUCAACACCUUUACCUUUUUCUCUACCAUUCUUUGUGUGUUGUGUUGACUUUGGGUUUCCAUCAUCUGAUCUAGUUUAUAAUUGUUGCAGUUGAUUCAGGGCGCUUGGGCUUGACAAUGGUAAUGGAGGUAGAAGAAAACGAAGGCUAUGUUUUUGCUAGAGCUGGGUGUGAGUUUUUCUAAUGGUGACAUGUGUGUUGGCUUGUGGAAACGGAGACAAAGAUGGAUGAGGCAAGUUGUUCAGGGGAACGGUCUCGAAUGGCACGAGAUUUCCAAUUUGGUACGUUGAUGCUGUUUGAUGCAGGUGGAAGAUGGUCUCACGAUUGAGGGUAGCUACAGCGCAUACUGUUGCCUAGAUGGAGGGGAAACUGUCGACUGCUAGAUGAGCAAAAACUACUUCUAUUCUUUUUAUCUUUUGCAUAAGAACCUAUACGGAAAUGUAUCAAUUUUGCCGCUGUUUGCAUUUUGCUAUGUGUUUUCUAGGUGCAAGUAAAUGGACAUUUAGAAAUAUAUGCCUAUUCUAUUGUUAUUGAUGUUUGGUGAAUCUUGCAGACAUUGAAGUCACGUUUAUAAUACAAAGAAAACCACACAACUAUAAAUAUUGAUCAAACAUCAUUCAUUUACAUCUGGGCAUGUAACAGGGAACGUGCAUUCACAUAAGACCAAAAUCGGGAAGCUUAGAUAUGGCAAGAUAUGGCAAUUUACCUUCGCAGCUUCAAGGGAAAUGGUUCUCCUCUUCUCUGGCCGUGAGGUGCUCCUUCUUCCCAAGUGGUGAUGAUUGGUGUCAAAGGUGAGUCUUCAACACUCUCUGGCUGUGAUGAUGAUUGUCAUGGUGAGAAUGAACCAAUAGGUGGAAGCUAGCAGAUCAAGGUGAAGUUGAGAGUUUUGUCCCCGGUCCAUGAAGUUGCCUCUGAAUCCUCUUUUUUUUAGUCCCCCCUAGCAUUGUACCCGACCUGAGAUGCUUGUAGAACUCUUUUUUUUUCUUUCUCUUUUGUUUUUGCGUUGGGUUCCAUGUUUGUCUUUUUCCUUUGUUAUGUAUUCAUUGUAUCAGUUGACCAACAAAAUAUUCAAAAUCUUUCUCCUUUUAUGAAUGUCCAUGACUCUGCGUAAAGAUUUUAACAAAGCCAAGACUUGUUGAUGCUGCAACCGCAUAUACACGUUUUAAGAAUAAUGUGUAAUGCUGGAUGGUGAGCUGUUGCCUGGUGCUCUGCUGCAGAAGGA